rnacentral:rRNA from 1 species
AACGAACGCUGGCGGCAUGCCUAACACAUGCAAGUCGAACGAGACCUUCGUGUCUAGUGGCGCACGGGUGCGUAACGCGUGGGAACCUGCCCUUAGGUUCGGAAUAACUCCUCGAAAGGGGUGCUAAUACCGGAUAAUGUCUUCGGACCAAAGAUUUAUCGCCUUUGGAUGGGCCCGCGUUGGAUUAGCUAGUUGGUAGGGUAAAAGCCUACCACGGCGACGAUCCAUAGCUGGUCUGAGAGGAUGAUCAGCCACACUGGGACUGAGACACGGCCCAGACUCCUACGGGAGGCAGCAGUGGGGAAUAUUGGACAAUGGGCGAAAGCCUGAUCCAGCAAUGCCGCGUGAGUGAUGAAGGCCUUAGGGUUGUAAAGCUCUUUUACCCGGGAUGAUAAUGACAGUACCGGGAGAAUAAGCUCCGGCUAACUCCGUG